GGAUGUGAGGGCGAUCUGGCUGCGACAUUUGCCACUCCAUUGAUCGCCAGGGCUGAUUCGGCUGAUCUGGCUGGCUAGACGGGUGUCCCCUUCCUCCCUCACCGCUCCAUGUGCGUCCCUCCCGAAGCUGCGCGCUCGGUCGCAGAGGACGACCAUCCCUGCUAGAGGAGGACCGGUCUUCAGUCAAGGGUAUACGAGUAGCUGCACUCCCCUGCUAGAACCUCCAAACAAGCUCUCAAGGUCCAUUCUCUGGUUCAAUCCCUAAGUGCCUGUAAUAGCCAUAGCUAGGCCAGGCCAAAGUCAAGACCUAGAAACGCCACCGGGGUCU
ensembl:misc_RNA 7SK 7SK RNA